rnacentral:tRNA from 1 species
UGGGGUGUAGCCAAGCGGUAAGGCACGGGUCUCUGAAACCCGCAUGCACUGGUCCGAUCCCAGUCACCCCAGCCA